ACUCCGGGGCCACCGCGCUUCCCGGAUCUGCAGCCGGAUUCCCGGUCUCAGCGGUGGCGCAACUCCCCAGCGCGUCCCCUCGCGGUGUCCCGGGUCCCAGCACAGCGGCCUGCGGAGAAUGAGCCGCAUCUACCAGGACAGCGCGCUCCGGAACAAGGCGGUGCGGAGCGCACGGCUGAGCGCGGCCUGGGAGCCCGCCGCCCACCAGGGGGGAAAUGGCGUCCUGCUGGAGGGAGAAUUGGUCGAUGUGUCUCGGCACAGCAUCUUGGAUGCCAAUGGCAGGAAGGAGCGCUACUACGUGCUGUACAUCCGGCCGAGUCUCAUCCAUCGCCGCAGGUUCGACCCCAAAGGGAAUGAAAUCGAGCCCAACUUCAGCGCCACCAAGAAGGUCAACACGGGCUUCCUCCUGUCCUCCUACAAGGUGGACGCCAAGGGGGAGACGGACAGACUCACGCCCGAGGCCCUGAAGGAGCUGGUGAACAAGCCCGAGCUGCUGGCCCUGACCGAGAGCCUCGCGCCCGAGCAGACCGUGGGGUUCUGGAUGCCUGAGUCAGAGAUGGAGGCGCUGGAGCUGGAGCUGGGGGCCGGGGUGCGGCUGAAAACACGAGGCGAUGGCCCGUUCCUGGAUUCAUUAGCCAAACUUGAAGCUGGAACAGUGACCAAGUGUAAUUUUGCCGGUGAUAGACAGACAGGGGCGUCCUGGACAGACAACAUCAUGGCCCGGAAGUCUUCUCAGGCGUCCACGGCGGAGACCCGCGAGCAGGGGGACGGGGCGGAGGACGAGGAGUGGGAUGACUGAGGCUUUUGGGAGAUGCAGCCUCCCUGAGGCGCAUCGGUGCUGUUGAGAAUUUCCUCCAUCAACCUCCAGUCCAGAGCUCCAGGAAGUGGCCCCCUUGGCCUUGCCUGGUUCUUCCCCACCGGCACCCGGGAGCACCCUUUGAACCAGCCCUGCUAAGAUCAAACCCAUGAUGUUAGCCACGGGGCGCGAUGCCGCGGCUCACGGCAGGUCCCUCCCCGAAUAGAGAGGAGAAGGGAGGGAGAAAGAGAGGAAGAGAAACAUCAAUGUGCGAGAGAUACAUGGAUCGACCAGUUGCCUCUCGUUAGCCCCCAGCUGCAGACCUGGCCUGCAACCCGGGCAUGUGCCCUGAGUGAGAACCAGCAACCUCUCAAGUUUGCAGGCCAGGGCUCAGUCUACUGAAUUACAACAGCCAAGGCUUUUUGUGAUUUUUUAUUGUUUCUAAGAUGUUCUCUAUUCAGAUGUUACUCAACUUCAUUUUCUUCCAUUUUGGCUAUUAUCUAGUUUUAUAGUUAACUCUUUAAUCCACUCUGCCUGUAAUUUGUGGGAGGAUAUGAAGGGAAAUAACUAAAUUGCUUAAUUUCAAAUUGCUAACCAGUUAUCUCAACACAGUCAUUGAAAUUUUUCCCUCACUGUCAACUUAUAAUGUCCCCUACGUCACAUAUUAAAUUAUUUUACACUUAGCCCUGGCUGGUGUAGCUCAGUGGACUGAGCGCGGGCCUGCAAACCAAAAGAUCGCAGUUCGAUUUCCAGUCAGGGCACAUGCCUGGGUUGCAGGCCAGUUCCCAGCAAGGGACACACAACAGGCAACCAUACAUUGAUAUUUCUCUCCUUCUCUCCUUCCCUUCACCUCUAAAGAUAAAUAAAUAAAAUCUUAAAAAAAUUAUUUUACACUUAAAUUAUCCAUUAUACUUCAAUAGGUCUCCCUGUGAAGUCAAUUUGUACUAUCAUAGUAGGUUUCGAUGGUAGUGCUAGGUACCCCUAUUCUUCUGUUUUAGAAUUUCCUUUGACAUUCCUUGUCAACACUGAAAACACUUUGUCAAGUUUCCAUGCAUAUUGCCUGCUUUUGGAUUAUUUUAAAUUAAAAUACCCUGGCCGGCCCUGGCCGGGUAGCUCAGUUGGUUGGAGCAUCUCCCAGAUACGCCAAGGUGCAGGUUUGAUCUCCAGUCAGGGCAUGUACAAAAAUCAACCAAUGAAUGAUAAGGAAGUGGAACAACAAAUUGACGUUUCUCUCUCUCUCUCUGAAACCAACAAAUAAAAAAAUUUAAAAAACCAGGCUAUUAAGAGUAAUACAUGUUUAUUUUAGAAAAUUUUUAAAAAGAAAAAUAAAUAAUUCUGUCUUUUAAAAAAAUCACUUAGGUAGCUCUCAGGUAUUACCAUGUAUUGCUCCAAGUGCUUGCAGGCCCCUUUUGUAUUCAUAACAGCUGCCUGAACACUUUUUUUUUCCAGGUAGAAAACCCUCAGUUUUACAGCAGAAGAGACUGACAUUAUGAGUUUUACGAAUGCCAACACUGGCCCAAGCCACCCAGUCAGUCAGCAGAGCCAGGGCUUGAAUCAGGGCACUAUGGUUCCGGCCACCUGAUACCUUGACGCUGCCACCCCGCCUCACACAGGGAUGUGUGUUUUGGUGUAUCUACUAACAAUUUUUACAACGUGCAGUGUCCCUAUACAUAUACUGUGUAAUCUUUUCACUUACAGAUAGGCCAUGACACAUUUCCCUAUACCAUAAACCUUACCCUACUUGAAUUUUAACACCUACUGAAUAUUCGUCAGAUGCAUGUGGAUGGAUGCAUCUGAGAACCAAUGUCUCAUUUUGGAAUAAUUAGUUCGUUUCCUAUUUUUCCCUGUAAUUACACUCCUGCGAUGUGCAUUCUUACAGGCGAAUCUUUUCACACAUCAUUUUAUUAUACAUUCUAUAACUGCAAAGGCUGGACCUAAUAUUCUGUGUAUUUAAAAGGCUUUUGAUACAUAUUGCCAGUCAUCUGGGUAGGUGAUUCCAAUUUGCCGCUCUAUCUACAAUAUAGGGACUUGCUCCACUUCACCCCAACUGAGACAUUAAGUGAAAAAAAAAAAAAGUUACCAAUUUGGGGUCAUCAGCACAUUUUAAAUGGGACUGCAUUAGAGAUGUCUUGGAUUCCAGCAUUCACUAUUUACCACAGAUAGAAUGCCGAAAAAUGAAAGUGAACCUUAAUGUACCCCAACUGGGGAAUGGCUAAAUCAGCAGGCAUCUCACACCGGGAAAGCAGGUCACGAUAUUUUGGCGCAGACGGUGAUUGAAGGAGGUCUCUGCAGCCCCUGAGCUGGAGCGAGGCUGGUGGGCAGGAGUUCCUGCGUAUGGAACUGCUCUCCCCACGUGCUCGACUUUGCACCGGGUCCGGAGUUAGCGGCAAAGCUGUCGGUCUGGGCGAAGGACGCAGAUCCCGGCUCGCGUCCUGGCCAGGCUCGACUCGCCAGUCGACGUUGACCGAUGUGACUACCCUCCCCAGCCUUCUACUCGGCGUGCCGGGAAACCGGACUCUUCGCGGUCCGGCCCCUGAGCGCCCGGGAAAGUUUCCCCCGGCCACUUUCAGAGGCACACCCACCGGAAGUUCCAUGGUUGUGGCGGAAGUUGGUGUUUUUAAGAAAUAGCCGUGCUUAGAAAAGCUUGGCCGGCGAAGAUGAUUCAGGCGAUUCUGGUUUUCAACAACCACGGGAAGCCGCGGCUGGUCCGCUUCUACCAGCGUUUC